GACUGUAGCCACAUUUUUUC
rnacentral:snRNA from 1 species